rnacentral:rRNA from 1 species
CCUACGGGAGGCUGCAGUGGGGAAUAUUGGACAAUGGGGGAAACCCUGAUGCAGCGACGCCGCGUGUGUGAAGAAGUAUUUCGGUUCGUAAAGCUCUAUAAGCAGGGAAGAAAAUGACGGUACCUGACUAAGAAGCCCCGGCUAACUACGUGCCAGCAGCCGCGGUAAUACGUAGGGUGCAAGCGUUAUCCGGAUUUACUGGGUGUAAAGGGAGCGUAGACGGCAGCGCAAGUCUGGAGUGAAAUCCCAGGGCUUAACCAUGGAACUGCUUUGGAGACUGUGCAGCUAGAGUGCAGGAGAGGGAGGCGGAAUUCCUAGUGUAGCAGUGAAAUGCGUAGAUAUUAGGAAGAACACCGGUGGCGAAGGCGGCUUACUGGACUGUAACUGACGUUGAGGCUCGAAAGCGUGGGGAGCAAACAGGAUUAGAUACCCCGGUAGUC